rnacentral:pre_miRNA from 9 species
UCUCGAUAGCGUAAACGUUAAUUCAAAUUUGUAUGGAGUUGAAAUGUUUGCCUACGUUUGCCUAGGGGUUCUAUUUCAACUGCAUACAUAUUUUGAGUUAACUUUUACGCUAUCGA